rnacentral:lncRNA from 1 species
GAAGAGCCUGAGAUGUCGUAGUUAAGAAUUCGGACUUUCCGCUGCCCACAUUGAGGUUCCGUGGAAAGUUUUAAAGUAGGGAAGAACUUUGCGUUCUCAGGCUUCUCGGCAUCGUGUUCGCUGGCGGCACCUACCGGCCAAUCGACACACUGCAGCCUCUCUCCGGCUAUUGCUCCUCGGACAAGAGAUGAAGGAAGCAGUUGUUACCUAUUGAGCUGGAAUUCUGGACGAGAUCACCUGAUGCCUGAGUUUCUGGGGCUGCUUCCCCCUCUCCAGAACUUCUGCUCUCACUUCAAAUUUACUGAGGACCCUCAUAACAACAACAACAAUAAAGAGCAACUGCUGGUAGACCACACCUGUGUGCCCAACACCAAGCUGAGAGCUCCACACCCUGCCGG